CCUACGGGAGGCAGCAGUAAGGAAUAUUGGUCAAUGGAGGCAACUCUGAACCAGCCAUGCCGCGUGCAGGAAGACUGCCCUAUGGGUUGUAAACUGCUUUUAUCCGGGAAUAAACCUGCUUACGUGUAAGUAGCUGAAUGUACCGGAAGAAUAAGGAUCGGCUAACUCCGUGCCAGCAGCCGCGGUAAUACGGAGGAUCCAAGCGUUAUCCGGAUUUAUUGGGUUUAAAGGGUGCGUAGGCGGCCUGUUAAGUCAGGGGUGAAAGACGGUAGCUCAACUAUCGCAGUGCCCUUGAUACUGAUGGGCUUGAAUGGACUAGAGGUAGGCGGAAUGAGACAAGUAGCGGUGAAAUGCAUAGAUAUGUCUCAGAACACCGAUUGCGAAGGCAGCUUACUAUGGUCUUAUUGACGCUGAGGCACGAAAGCGUGGGGAUCAAACAGGAUUAGAUACCCUGGUAGUCCACGCCCUAAACGAUGAACACUCGCUGUUGGCGAUACACAGUCAGCGGCGUAGACGAAAGACGUUAAGUUAGUUCCGUAACCGUCGGGGUAGGUUACGGCCGCCGAACGGGUUAGGAACGUUACGAAAGGAAGUUAGACGGCGUUGAGACGNGCCGACGGACGACGACGAGGGAGGAGG
rnacentral:rRNA from 1 species